rnacentral:rRNA from 1 species
GACGAACGCUGGCGGCGUGCCUAAUACAUGCAAGUUGAGCGAUGAAGAUUGGUGCUUGCACCAAUUUGAAGAGCAGCGAACGGGUGAGUAACGCGUGGGGAAUCUGCCUUUGAGCGGGGGACAACAUUUGGAAACGAAUGCUAAUACCGCAUAACAACUUUAAACAUAAGUUUUAAGUUUGAAAGAUGCAAUUGCAUCACUCAAAGAUGAUCCCGCGUUGUAUUAGCUAGUUUGUGAGGUAAAGGCUCACCAAGGCGAUGAUACAUAGCCGACCUGAGAGGGUGGUCGGCCACAUUGGGACCGAGACACGGCCCAAACUCCUACGGGAGGCAGCAGUAGGGAAUCUUCGGCAAUGGACGAAAGUCUGACCGAGCAACGCCGCGUGAGUGAAGAAGGUUUUCGGAUCGUAAAACUCUGUUGGUAGAGAAGAACGUUGGUGAGAGUGGAAAGCUCAUCAAGUGACGGUAACUACCCAGAAAGGGACGGCUAACUACGUG